AAAUCAGUAUCACAAUAAUCAAUACAAAAAUCCAUAUAUUGCAGCUAACAGUGUUUUGUUACAGCAGGCAACAACAGUUAUUCAUUUCAUAUGGAAAAACAUAAUAAAU